rnacentral:rRNA from 1 species
GACGAACGCUGGCGGCGUGCUUAACACAUGCAAGUGGAGCGACGAACCAGGCUUCGGCCUGGGGCAGAGCCGCGAACGGGUGAGUAACACGUGGGUAACGUGCCCCGAUGACCGGGACAACCCGGGGAAACCCGGGCUAAUACCGGAUGUUCCCUCCUCACACCAGUGAGGCGGGCAAAGGAAGCUUCGGCCUCCGCAUCGGGAUCGGCCCGCGGCCCAUUAGCUUGUUGGUGAGGUAAAGGCUCACCAAGGCUGCGAUGGGUAGCUGGUCUGAGAGGACGAUCAGCCACACUGGGACUGAGACACGGCCCAGACUCCUACGGGAGGCAGCAGUGGGGAAUCUUGCGCAAUGCACGACAGUGUGACGCAGCAACGCCGCGUGGGGAAGAAGGCCU